rnacentral:rRNA from 1 species
GACGAACGCUGGCGGCGUGCUUAACACAUGCAAGUCGAACGGAAAGGCCCUGCUUUUGUGGGGUGCUCGAGUGGCGAACGGGUGAGUAACACGUGAGUAACCUGCCCUUGACUUUGGGAUAACUUCAGGAAACUGGGGCUAAUACCGGAUAGGAGCUCCUGCUGCAUGGUGGGGGUUGGAAAGUUUCGGCGGUUGGGGAUGGACUCGCGGCUUAUCAGCUUGUUGGUGGGGUAGUGGCUUACCAAGGCUUUGACGGGUAGCCGGCCUGAGAGGGUGACCGGCCACAAUGGGACUGAGAUACGGCCCAGACUGCUACGGGAGGCAGCAGUGGGGAAUAUUGCAGAGUGGGCGGAAGCCUGAUGCAGCAACGCCGCGUGCGGGAUGACGGCCUUCGGGUUGUAAACCGCUUUCGCCUGUGACGAAGCGUGCGUGACGGUAAUGGGUAAGGAAGCACCGGCUAACUACGUG